AGCUUUGUGCAGUGGCAGUAUCGUAGCCAAUGAGGUUUAUCCGAGGCGCGAUUAUUGCUAAUUGAACAUUAUUGACAUUUUAUUUACCUCUGUAUUUUCAGUGCCUAAAAAUAAUGCUUUGGUAAAAAUAUGUUUU